CCUCCCCUCCAUUCAAUCCCAGCGCUGGGAUGCUCCCUCCAUCUCCGUGCCAUGCGGGCUCCAAACAGUUUUACCUGGGUGAGGGAAGCAGGCUGGAGAAAGCAUGUGAUCACACGCAGUCGAGAAUCUUGUUUUCUUUGGAGUGAAACUAUUCCUUUCACCUGUGUGAUGGCAUGAAAGAGUUUUCAUCUGAGGCAAAUGAAAAAUAUUCCACCGCCUUCCCACCAACCUCCAGUACCAGCUCUGUAAAGAACAAAAGGAAUGAGGCUGGAGAGAAACCAUCCUGAAAAGGUCAACCAUUUCAACAUGUCCAAAGCAUUGAGGGGUUUCCAGUGAAUUAUAUUCCUCAGGGAAAGGCAGAGGCAUGGGUAGUUGUCUGGUUUUAAGCAUCUCUGACAUGCUUUGAUUCUAAACACCACAUCAGACAAAAUGUGGUGAACUUUAACUUUUAGACUUUUGGUAAAUAGAUAUUUAUCUUAAAAAUACUUCAUCAUUAGUAUGAACAGCAACAGCCAUCCCUCUCUCUUUCUUUCAGGAGAGAUAUUAGAUUUCCUUUUAUUUUCUCCUUGGGACAAAACUGAAGUUGUGACUUGAGCUGAGAUCACCACAAAGAGCAACAGAAAGUCCAGCCUUGAGCUGAGCCAAUUUCACCUCAGAGAAACUACACGAGGAAAGGCAUCCACCAAAUGAUAAAAGCAAACAGCCCCUGUGAGCACAUCAUUCCAUGGGUCUCAUGAAGUGCUUUACUUGAACUUAUAAUACUCUUGAAAUCAGCUUUUGGCCCAACAUAGCUCACAUAAAUUUCAGUCAGGCUUGCAGCUUUCCACCCAAAAUUAACACGGCUGUUGUUGCCUGUCAAAGGGAUGUCAAAGGCAGUGUGAAUCUGCCUUUCAAGUCUGAGUCAUUGUGACAGGCCACACAAAGUCACUGCUUCUGGUUCUGAGGACAAAGACCUUUAGUUCUGAGGACAAAGACCUUGCAUGUUUUCCAUCUAGCCCAAACCCUUCUGAUACAUUUGUGUGGUGACACAACCUUGGGGAAAAUAUGGUUGUGUGGGCAGCAGCCCUUUGCAAUUCUAACUCUUAAAAACUAAUUCUGUCAUAAGAAAUAAAUCCUUUGUGGAGAA